GUCGAACGAUGAAACCGCUUCGGUGGUGGAUUAGUGGCGAACGGGUGAGUAACACGUGGGCAAUCUGCCCUUCACUCUGGGACAAGCCCUGGAAACGGGGUCUAAUACCGGAUAACACUCUGUCCCGCAUGGGACGGGGUUGAAAGCUCCGGCGGUGAAGGAUGAGCCCGCGGCCUAUCAGCUUGUUGGUGGGGUAAUGGCCUACCAAGGCGACGACGGGUAGCCGGCCUGAGAGGGCGACCGGCCACACUGGGACUGAGACACGGCCCAGACUCCUACGGGAGGCAGCAGUGGGGAAUAUUGCACAAUGGGCGAAAGCCUGAUGCAGCGACGCCGCGUGAGGGAUGACGGCCUUCGGGUUGUAAACCUCUUUCAGCAGGGAAGAAGCGAAAGUGACGGUACCUGCAGAAGAAGCGCCGGCUAACUACGUGCCAGCAGCCGCGGUAAUACGUAGGGCGCAAGCGUUGUCCGGAAUUAUUGGGCGUAAAGAGCUCGUAGGCGGCUUGUCACGUCGGAUGUGAAAGCCCGGGGCUUAACCCCGGGUCUGCAUUCGAUACGGGCUAGCUAGAGUGUGGUAGGGGAGAUCGGAAUUCCUGGUGUAGCGGUGAAAUGCGCAGAUAUCAGGAGGAACACCGGUGGCGAAGGCGGAUCUCUGGGCCAUUACUGACGCUGAGGAGCGAAAGCGUGGGGAGCGAACAGGAUUAGAUACCCUGGUAGUCCACGCCGUAAACGUUGGGAACUAGGUGUUGGCAU
rnacentral:rRNA from 1 species